rnacentral:rRNA from 1 species
GACGAACGCUGGCGGCGUGCUUAACACAUGCAAGUCGAGCGGUAAGGCCCGUUUCGGGGGUACACGAGCGGCGAACGGGUGAGUAACACGUGGGUGACCUGCCCUUAGCUCUGGGAUAAGCCCGGGAAACUGGGUCUAAUACCGGAUAUGACUCCAUAACGCAUGUUGUGGGGUGGAAAGCCUUGUGCGGCUAGGGAUGGGCCCGCGGCCUAUCAGCUUGUGGUGGGGUGAUGGCCUACCAAGGCGACGACGGGUAGCCGGCCUGAGAGGCGACCGGCCACACUGGGACUGAGACACGGCCCAGACUCCUACGGGAGG